CAUCUUCCAAAAUGUAAGUACAUGUUUUCUUCAAAAUACAACUAGCUCUCUGAUAUCUAUCCAAAAUAUCAACUAGUACACGAGGGUACUCUAAUGCAUAAGGAAAAGCUACUAACUAGGCUCACUUAGGGCGCUAUGCCCUUGCCGCGGUCCUCACUCAGCUCGCCUCUGUGUGUGCCUGUACCCCAAAACCACACGGGGUGAGAACUAUAUAAAUAUAGUUUCCAGUGGGUUCGGCCGCCGACGCCGCCGAUUUUCCCACUAGGUCUAAGCUGGCAUAGAUAGAGAGAUAGAUAGAUAUGUAAAGAGAUAAACUGCAACUACUCUAUCAUGCUAUCAAUGAUGAUAAUGCAUGCAACAACUAUUUUCAUGCAGAAUCAUGUCAUGAUAUAUAAAAGUACAUAGCAAUGCAAUCUUACAACAUACACUAUGUCUACUCGAAGUAAUAUGCAAGUCUACUAUGCAUCUCAUGUUUAUUACAAUCUACCUAGGCCAACUUGCCUAAGAUCUCAAAUCUUAAGGUCCUAGACAAGAGCUACCCGCUCCUUGCCCGAUAAUCUGAAGGUCUAAAAGACGUACCCGCUCCUCGCUCGACAUCAGUCGAAGGUCCUAGGCAAAGAGCUACCCGCUCUCGCCCGACUCAUCUCUCUCUACUAGGCGUACGAGCCGCCCUGCCAUAGUAAUGGAACUAUACACAUGCUACUAUGCCUCUGUAAAUAUGAAUGCAUGGACAUAGCAAUGAUUUCUAUAAUCAUGAAUACUAUGCUUCAACAAUAAUGAAAUGAGCUACUACAUAGUGAUGUAUCUACAACAUGCUACUAUGUCUCAAUAAUCCGAAUGAACGAGCUACUACAUAGUGCGUCGUGCAACUAUGCCUCGAUAAUAUCCAAUCUCAUGGCUAACCCGAAGGUUGCCACCCCAGGGACAACCACGACUCACUUUCAAUCUCAUAGGUGAGGAGAAACUGCACUCGCACACCGAGACCGUCUGCGGGACAACCCUGUGAGAUACUCCGGAGACUCAUGCCUCGGUGGAGCGACCACCGACAAGCGAAAACAGACUAGUGAGUAUAAUCCAAUCCUCUCAAGAGGAUACCCUAUUUACAAGGGUCAAUGUGCCUCAACUGCACUAAUGCCAAAUGCAUAAUGUCUACAACAUGACAAUAGGAAAAAUCUACUAUACUAAUUCAAUGUCGCUUGUUUUCAUCAUCACAAGUCCAAGUUCAUCAUCAUUCUUGUCACUAUAGGAUUCUUGUCACAUGACCCAAUCCUCAUGCAACCUAAGUUCAAGUGUCAAGCCCAUAAUGCUACACUACCAUAGGAAACAUGUAAGGAAAUGGAAUGUAAUCAUCUACUAAUCCUAUAAUGAACAAUAUCAAUAUAUGAAUAUGAUCAAAAAUAAAACUUAGACAUAAAAGGAAGCCCGGAUGUUUCGGUAUGACACCCCCCACCUUUUACCGCUAUCACGAGGCUAGGUUCUCAAUUGCACGUUCCCUAGUCGCCGCUUUACUCUUCGGUCGCACCUGCUCGACGAAUCGACGAACCGACGCUUCACACGCGUUUAGGCACCUCAAACACAAGCUUUUCCUCAAACCAAGUAAUGAAGAGGAUGAAGACUUCACCUCCAAGCAACCUUUUUCUUCUCCAAAUGCACCUCCAAUUCCUCCCUUUGGUGGAGAAAUUGUUGGAGAGAGAGAGGUAUUUCUCUUUGGUUGCAAGUGUGAGGGAGAAAGAAAGAAAAUGCUCAAGUCCCCUAUAUAUAUAUAGGAAACUUGGCCUCCAAGUUUCAUAGGAAACUUGGUCUCCAAGUGUCAUAGGAAACUUAGCCUCCAAGUUUCAUCCAAGUUAUCUAGGAAACUUGGCCUCCAAGUUAUCUAGGAAACUUGGCUUCCAAGUUAUCCAAGAAUACUAUUCACAUUUGGUUUAGCAGCACGGUACAGAUAUUUUUCGUCUGCCCUGUCUCUCACAGAAAAUUCUAAAUCUUCUGUUUUCGCUUUCAUUUCAACACGGGUCACUCUAGACUUAUAAUUUAUGUCUAUAAGUCCAAUAAAAAUAGUAUCCCACACUAUUUUUAUUUAUUUUCACUUUUACAUUUAAAAUCCGGUACCUUACAUCGGCACUAUCAACAUAGUUAUGAGCAUGUCAUAGUUCUCUAUGUUAGAGUCAAGAGAAUGUCAUUGUUCUCUACUUUAAAGUGCAUCCUACACUUGUUCAUAAGCCAUUCAACUGUAUUGAAUAUGAAUAGAAAUACUUUCAUGUAUAUAUGUUCUCUAUAUCAUAGAAACAUAAUAAACUGAUCUCCUGAUUGUUCUACUGAACUAAACAAGAAUACUUUAAUGCAUGAGUACUUUUAUGCAUGAACGCUCAUUUCACAUAUGAUAAACGUCAUGAUGACGAAUUCCGAGCCCUUUAACAAUCACAUAGGCAUAUAAUUAAACCGCGUCUAUAAUACAUAUAGAACAUAGGGGAGCUUCACUUGCUCUGGUUAGGUCAAACCCACCUAUUACUAGGCUUCAAUCAGUCCAAAGAAAAUCCCAAAGUCCGCUCCACAAGGUCUCAACUCUGCUGAAAAACAAGGCAUGAAAGUGGCAUCAAUACUACAAUCGAAAUGUCCGAUCUCAUCACAAUUUGCACUUAGUACACAGUAGUAGCUUGAAUCCCUGCUUUGGGCUAGUUAAUACCUCAAGAUGAGUCUCCAAGAGCUCUCACAAGUCCACUAAAGGUGCUCUAAAGCUCGGUCGCACUCUCGCUGCAAACCACGUC
rnacentral:lncRNA from 1 species